GCAGAGUGUCCUGCAGGGAGCAGAGACCGUCAGUCUUGCACCCCAGCAUCAGGACAAAAUAUUGAAAGGGGAGACAGCUGGUCCCCCUCACCACCAGCAGAGAGAGUGUAAGGGAGAGGAGCCUGCUACCCCCUCUCCCCAGCGGCAGGUUACAGUUCAGAGAGAGGAGCUUGUUACACCCUCUCUCCAGUGGCAGCCUAACCCACCAAGGGGAGAUGUUGCACCCCCCAACAGUGCAGAUGGGACCGAAGUCUUUGCACUUGCAGCACAAGAGGUAGGGACGGUCAGUCCUGUCCCCCAGCCCCAGAGCUGUGUACCCAGAGGGGAGACGGUUGGUCUCCCCCUCCCACAAC